rnacentral:rRNA from 1 species
UACGUAGGAGGCAAGCGUUGUCCGGAAUCACUGGGCGUAAAGGGCGCGUAGGCGGCUCGGUAAGUAGGGGGUGAAAUCCUGCGGCUUAACCGCAGGGCUGCCUUCUAAACUGUCGAGCUUGAGCACGGUAGAGGCAGAUGGAAUUCCCGGUGUAGCGGUGGAAUGCGUAGAGAUCGGGAAGAACAUCAGUGGCGAAGGCGGUCUGCUGGGCCGUUGCUGACGCUGAGGCGCGACAGCGGUGGGGAGCAAACAGG